rnacentral:rRNA from 1 species
UACGAAGGGGGCUAGCGUUGCUCGGAAUCACUGGGCGUAAAGCGCACGUAGGCGGAUCUUUAAGUCAGGGGUGAAAUCCCAAGGCUCAACCUUGGAACUGCCUUUGAUACUGGCGAUCUUGAGUCCGGGAGAGGUGAGUGGAACUGCGAGUGUAGAGGUGAAAUUCGUAGAUAUUCGCAAGAACACCAGUGGCGAAGGCGGCUCACUGGCCCGGUACUGACGCUGAGGUGCGAAAGCGUGGGGAGCAAACAGG